AGUGAACGCUGGCGGCGUGCUUAACACAUGCAAGUCGAACGGACUUAAGGGGCUUGCUUCUUAAGUUAGUGGCGCACGGGUGAGUAAUAUAUAGCUAACCUGCCCUUUAGUGGGGGACAACAGUUGGAAACGGCUGCUAAUACCCCAUACUCCUUCUUAUCAUAAGGUAAGUUGGGAAAGCUUUAUCGCUAAAGGAUGGGGCUUUAUUGUAUCAGCUAGUUGGUGGGGUAACGGCCUACCAAGGCUAUGACGCAUACCUGGUCUGAGAGGAUGAUCAAGCACACUGGAACUACGACACGGUGCAGACUCCUACGGGAGGCAGGAGUGGGGAAUAUUGCACAAUGGAGGGAACUAUGAUGCAGCAACGCCGCGUGGAGGAUGACGCAUUUCGGUGUGUAAACUCCUUUUAUAGGGGAAGAUGAUGACGGUACCCUAUGAAUAAGCACCGGCUAACUACGUGCCAGCAGCCGCGGUAA
rnacentral:rRNA from 1 species